rnacentral:rRNA from 1 species
UACAGAGGGUGCGAGCGUUGUCCGGAAUCACUGGGCGUAAAGGGCGCGUAGGUGGUUGGGGAAGCGUGUGGUGAAAGCCCGGGGCUCAACCCCGGGUCGGCCAUGCGAACUGCCCGACUGGAGCAUGGUAGAGGCCAAUGGAAUUCCGGGUGUAGCGGUGGAAUGCGUAGAGAUCCGGAAGAACACCGGUGGCGAAGGCGGUGACUGGGCCUUGGC